AUGGCAGCAGUUGCUGCCUCUUGCGCUGUGGUUUCAGUCGUGUUUGCCAAGACACUGAGGCUCCUGUUGUAGCAUGACCUAUUAAUGAACCAUAACCUCUAACCACAAAGCUGAAAAAAAAAAAAAGCUGACGCCAUCAGAUUUUUAAGGCUUAGCGAGAAUUGAAACAAGCAAGAGUGCCGGAGUGGGGAACGAUGGCGGCGGCGUGGCAAAACUGCCUCACCUGUGUUCGCUUCUUUUUUUGGCAUCAGCGCUGCCUCUCGCUCCCAAAAUUUACCUCAAGAUUCCCCGAGAGCCCCAGACGGGGCAGUGGGCACUCCUCUGUCUCACCGGGGGAUUCCACCCCAGCGGGCUUACCCUGGCCUGGACCCACCGGAGCAAAGCAGCAGCCGACAUCAGUCAUCCGUCAGUCACCAAGUGCACCCUUCCUGCCGUCGGCCCUCACGGCAACCUGUCUGACCGCGUGGCAGACGGAGCCCUGCUGUCCUCGGAUUGGUUGGCGAGCCCCGCGCUGCUGCGCCAGCCCAAGUGCUUCCAGUUGAUGGCCAACCGCAGCCAAGGAGUUUACCUCCUCGGUGUGAUUUUCCUCCCACUGAAACAGUCUCUGGACGAAGGGAUCACCUUCACCUGCACAGUGCGGGACCACCCCGCCAUGACCACUGAUCUGACUGCCUCCUUCACUUGGGAAGCCUCCCCGAAUGAGCUGAUGGCGAAGUUGAAUAUUCUAAAGAUGUGUCUCCUCUCUGCAAUGGCUGUGGUGCUUUUACUGGAAAGUUAGUGAUUAAUACUCUCAGCAAGAAUAACAAAGUCACAAUGAAAACUGUGAUCUUUCUCUCCACAACAGUCAAACAUUUUCGUGUGAAGGGAAAAUGAUGUGUGAAAUGAACCACAAAAUGAAAAUAGGACAGGACAAAAAAAAAAAAAAAAGGCAAGCCGGAUGUUCUGUCCCCUCGUCUCAGCAGACCAACCUUCAACAAACAGCAUCACACAAAUUAAAGUCCAGAGUCAUCAUGGUGGGGGGGAAAGAAUAAAUUCGGAAUUAUCAGUUGAUUCUGCACUAUGACAAUGAGUGUUGUGUAUGUAUUGUGUACAAUGUGUUUGUGUGUCUCUCUCACAUUUGACAUUUGAAAGUUUCAUUCCACAUGCGGUGUACCCUGCUCUGCUCUCACACACCGUGAAUCCUCUAAACACUGAUGCGUCGCCGAUUCCUUUCUUCCCAUUGAAGCUCUUUAUCUCCGGUACCCUUUACCGCCGUGACGUGCUGACAAGCGUGUUUUGGGAUUUGCCCAUUGUGUCAGCGGCCCGCGCGUUUUCAUUUUUCGGGGGGGGGGGCUGUGUAAAAAAUGAACACUUCAUGCAUGAUCCACCUGUCAAACGGAUACGGUGAUCAGCUCAACCUCCUCGCAAGGCCCUAAUCCUCACGGAACUGGAUUAGGGUGGAUGCCAGCGCCUUGCUUUACGUGAUAGCAUUGUUUACGUUUGCAGUGUGUGGUGCGCGAUCUUGAUUCACGCGUCGGAGGAAGUUCC